GACCUACCUUCAGCAGCUUGCAACCUUUUGUUCAAGAGUCGAGGUGACUUCAUGCUGUUCUUUCCUUCCCGUGGACUCACCAUCCCCCUGCAGGACGCCAAAGUACUUUCAAAUAAAACAGUAUGUGGAAAGCCCUUAAACGCUGUGAUGCUGAGGAGGAGGAGGUUUGCCU